rnacentral:rRNA from 1 species
GUGGGGAAUAUUGCGCAAUGGGGGAAACCCUGACGCAGCGACGCCGUGUGAGGGAAGAAGGCUUUCGGGUCGUAAACCUCUGUCAGAAAGGAAGAACCUCCCAUAUCCGAAUAGGGUGUGGGACUGACGGUACUUUCAAAGGAAGCACCGGCUAACUCCGUGCCAGCAGCCGCGGUAAUACGGAGGGUGCUAGCGUUAAUCGGAAUCACUGGGCGUAAAGCGCGCGUAGGCCGCUUCUUAAGUCGGACGUGAAAGCCCUCGGCUCAACCGGGGAACUGCGUUCGAUACUGGGAGGCUUGAGUCCUGGAGAGGGUGGCGGAAUUCCGGGUGUAGGAGUGAAAUCCGUAGAUAUCCGGAGGAACACCGGUGGCGAAGGCGGCCACCUGGACAGGUACUGACGCUGAGGCGCGAAAGCGUGGGGAGCAAACAGGAUUAGAAACCCGUGUAGUCC